AACGUCGGCGAAUUUUAAUAUAAAAAAGACGUCAAUGUUGAUUAUAUUAAUUUUAAUUUUAAGUAUUUUACAUAUUAAUUAAAAAAUGGUCAAGUAUUAGAUGUCGAUUCAAAUUAAUAGAAGCUUCAGAAGACACAACAUCUCUACAGAUAUUGCUUCUUAAAACAAAAAAUUAAAAAUAUAAAAACAAAAAAUGCAUUUGUCGAACAUGUUAUCUAUUACCAUGAUUAUACUGGUCAUUAUUUGUUAUCAAAUCAUUCCAGUAUCUCUUUCUGCAACAAAAAUGACAAAUUCUGAAAAGGAGAAACUUAAAUUGAAGACACUUGAAAUGUUUGAUCAUGCCUAUGGGUCCUACAAGAAAUAUGCUUUUCCUGCUGAUGAAUUAAUGCCAUUGAGUUGUAAAGGAAGAUAUCGAGGAACUGAGGGUGAUCGUGGUGAUAUUGAUGAAGCAUU
rnacentral:lncRNA from 1 species